rnacentral:misc_RNA from 1 species
GUGAAUCAUCGAAUUUUUGAACGCAUAUUGCACUCUCUGGUAUUCCGGAGAGUAUGCCUGUUUGAGGGUAAUUAAAAAGAAUCUUUAACCAAUUUUUUUUGGUCAAAUGAAAUUAGCUCUCCUCGUUUAUAGCGUUAACGUGAAAUAAAUUGUCAAUUCUCAUUUUAGUCGAGACGCGUAAUAAUAUUCUUUCUCGAAAUCUGCAUUAUGUGACUAUCAAGUUUUUAUGCAUACUAGUUUUCUUUUUAUGCGAUCAAUACAAAUAUUUUUAACAUUACCUCAAAUCAGGUAGGAGUACCUU